rnacentral:rRNA from 1 species
CACGGUCGGACGGCAGCAUAGAAGAGCUUGCUCUUUUGAUGGCGAGUGGCGAACGGGUGAGUAAUGCAUCGGAACGUACCGAGUAGUGGGGGAUAACUGUCCGAAAGGAUGGCUAAUACCGCAUAUUCUCUGAGGAGGAAAGCAGGGGACCUUAGGGCCUUGCGCUAUUUGAGCGGCCGAUGUCUGAUUAGCUAGUUGGUGGGGUAAGAGCCCACCAAGGCGACGAUCAGUAGCGGGUCUGAGAGGAUGAUCCGCCACACUGGGACUGAGACACGGCCCAGACUCCUACGGGAGGCAGCAGUGGGGAAUUUUGGACAAUGGGCGCAAGCCUGAUCCAGCCAUGCCGCGUGUAUGAAGAAGGCCUUCGGGUUGUAAAGUACUUUUGUCAGGGAAGAAAAGCCUGRGGAUAACACCCUCAGGUCAUGACGGUACCUGAAGAAUAAGCACCGGCUAACUACGUGCCAGCAGCCGCGGUAAUACGUAGGGUGCGAGCGUUAAUCGGAAUUACUGGGCGUAAAGCGAGCGCAGACGGUUAUUUAAGCAAGAUGUGAAAGCCCCGGGCUCAACCUGGGAACUGCGUUUUGAACUGGGUAACUAGAGUGUGUCAGAGGGGGGUAGAAUUCCACGUGUAGCAGUGAAAUGCGUAGAGAUGUGGAGGAAUACCGAUGGCGAAGGCAGCCCCCUGGGAUAACACUGACGUUCAUGCUCGAAAGCGUGGGUAGCAAACAGGAUUAGAUACCCUGGUAGUCCACGCCCUAAACGAUGUCAAUUAGCUGUUGGGGUACAUGAUGCCUUAGUAGCGUAGCUAACGCGUGAAAUUGACCGCCUGGGGAGUACGGUCGCAAGAUUAAAACUCAAAGGAAUUGACGGGAACCCGCACAAGCGGUGGAUGAUGUGGAUUAAUUCGAUGCAACGCGAAGAACCUUACCUGGUCUUGACAUGUACGGAAUCUCUUAGAGAUAGGAGAGUGCCUUCGGGAGCCGUAACACAGGUGCUGCAUGGCUGUCUUCAGCUCGUG